CACGCAGAGCUUGCUCUCGGGUGACGAGUGGCGGACGGGUGAGUAAUGUCUGGGAAACUGCCUGAUGGAGGGGGAUAACUACUGGAAACGGUAGCUAAUACCGCAUAAUGUCGCAAGACCAAAGAGGGGGACCUUCGGGCCUCUUGCCAUCAGAUGUGCCCAGAUGGGAUUAGCUAGUAGGUGGGGUAACGGCUCACCUAGGCGACGAUCCCUAGCUGGUCUGAGAGGAUGACCAGCCACACUGGAACUGAGACACGGUCCAGACUCCUACGGGAGGCAGCAGUGGGGAAUAUUGCACAAUGGGCGCAAGCCUGAUGCAGCCAUGCCGCGUGUAUGAAGAAGGCCUUCGGGUUGUAAAGUACUUUCAGCGGGGAGGAAGGCGUUGUGGUUAAUAACCACAGCAAUUGACGUUACCCGCAGAAGAAGCACCGGCUAACUCCGUGCCAGCAGCCGCGGUAAUACGGAGGGUGCAAGCGUUAAUCGGAAUUACUGGGCGUAAAGCGCACGCAGGCGGUCUGUCAAGUCGGAUGUGAAAUCCCCGGGCUCAACCUGGGAACUGCAUUCGAAACUGGCAGGCUAGAGUCUUGUAGAGGGGGGUAGAAUUCCAGGUGUAGCGGUGAAAUGCGUAGAGAUCUGGAGGAAUACCGGUGGCGAAGGCGGCCCCCUGGACAAAGACUGACGCUCAGGUGCGAAAGCGUGGGGAGCAAACAGGAUUAGAUACCCUGGUAGUCCACGCCGUAAACGAUGUCGACUUGGAGGUUGUGCCCUUGAGGCGUGGCUUCCGGAGCUAACGCGUUAAGUCGACCGCCUGGGAGUACGGCCGCAAGGUUAAAACUCAAAUGAAUUGACGGGGGCCCGCACAAGCGGUGGAGCAUGUGGUUUAUUCGAUGCACGCGAGACUUACCUACUCUUGACAUCAGAGACUUACAGAGAUGCUUUGUGC
rnacentral:rRNA from 1 species